rnacentral:rRNA from 1 species
UACGUAGGGUGCAAGCGUUGUCCGGAAUUAUUGGGCGUAAAGAGCUCGUAGGCGGUUUGUCGCGUCUGCUGUGAAAACUCAGGCUUAACCCUGAGCCUGCAGUGGGUACGGGCAGACUAGAGUGUGGUAGGGGAGAUCGGAAUUCCUGGUGUAGCGGUGGAAUGCGCAGAUAUCGAGGAGGAACACCGAUGGCGAAGGCAGAUCUCUGGGACCGUAACUGACGCUGAGGAGCGAAAGCAUGGGGAGCGAACAGG